CUACGGGAGGCAGCAGUGGGGAAUAUUGGACAAUGGGCGAAAGCCUGAUCCAGCAAUGCCGCGUGAGUGAUGAAGGCCUUAGGGUUGUAAAACUCUUUCGCCGGGGAAGAUAAUGACGGUACCCGGAGAAGAAGCACCGGCUAACUUCGUGCCAGCAGCCGCGGUAAUACGAAGGGUGCUAGCGUUGUUCGGAAUUACUGGGCGUAAAGCGCGCGUAGGCGGUUUUGUAAGUUGGAGGUGAAAGCCCAGAGCUUAACUCUGGAACUGCCUUCAAAACUACAAGGCUAGAGUAUGGGAGAGGUGAGUGGAAUUCCGAGUGUAGAGGUGAAAAUCGUAGAUAUUCGGAAGAACACCAGUGGCGGAGGCGGCUCACUGGACCAUAACUGACGCUGAGGUGCGAAAGCGUGGGGAGCAAACAGGAUUAGAAACCCGAGUAGUCC
rnacentral:rRNA from 1 species